rnacentral:rRNA from 1 species
GAUGAACGCUAGCGGCAGGCUUAAUACAUGCAAGUCGUGGGGCAGCACAGGUAGCAAUACUGGGUGGCGACCGGCAAACGGGUGCGGAACACGUACGCAACCUUCCUUUAAGCGGGGAAUAGCCCCAGGGAAACUUGGAUUAAUACCCCAUAGGAUCAUUGAAUGGCAUCAUUUGGUGAUUAAAGCUCCGGCACUUAAAGAUGGGCGUGCGGCUGAUUAGGUAGUUGGCGGGGUAACGGCCCACCAAGCCGACGAUCAGUAACUGGUGUG